rnacentral:rRNA from 1 species
AACGAACGCUGGCGGCAGGCCUAACACAUGUAAGUCGAGCGAGACCUUCGGGUCUAGCGGCGGACGGGUGAGUAACGCGUGGGAACGUGCCCUUUUCUGCGGAAUAGCCUCGGGAAACUGAGAGUAAUACCGCAUACGCCCUUUUGGGGAAAGAUUUAUCGGAGAAGGAUCGGCCCGCGUUGGAUUAGGUAGUUGGUGGGGUAAUGGCCUACCAAGCCGACGAUCCAUAGCUGGUUUGAGAGGAUGAUCAGCCACACUGGGACUGAGACACGGCCCAGACCCCUACGGGAGGCAGCAGUGGGGAAUCUUAGACAAUGGGGGCAACCCUGAUCUAGCCAUGCCGCGUGAGUGAUGAAGGCCUUAGGGUUGUAAAGCUCUUUCAGCUGGGAAGAUAAUGACGGUACCAGCAGAAGAAGCCCCGGCUAACUCCGUGCCAGCCGCCGCAGUAAUAC